GUGGUGGUUGAGCGCUAACACAAAUGUUUAACCCUGCUACAUUAUGUAUGUGCCUGUCUCAUGUUAGGAGCAUGUAAACCAGUGGUUGUCGUUGGUGACUGUCUGUCAUAAUGAUCUCAUAUAGGUUACUACAUGGGUUUAAUUUACCCAUGUUGACAAUGUACAGUUGUUCAUGAACUGCUUCAAUUAUUUAUAAAAGUAGGGAUUUCAACAAUGAUAAAUUAUGUCCAAAUACAAAAGCAUUAAUUGUCAAAUAAAAAGGGGAAUUCUAUCUCCGGAACCCGCUCCUUGGUUUGACUACAGGUGUUCGCAUCCUUGUGCUUUGUUUUUUGUGGC
rnacentral:lncRNA from 1 species